rnacentral:rRNA from 1 species
UACGUAAGGUCCGAGCGUUGUCCGGAAUCACUGGGCGUAAAGGGUUCGCAGGCGGAUAUGCAAGUCAGAUGUAAAAGGCAGUAGCUUAACUACGGUAAGCAUUUGAAACUGCAUAUCUUGAGAAGUGUAGAGGUAAGUGGAAUUUUUAGUGUAGCGGUGAAAUGCGUAGAUAUUAAAAAGAAUACCGGUGGCGAAGGCGACUUCCUGGACACAGUCUGACGCUGAGGUACGAAAGCGUGGGUAGCAAACAGG